UACGUUCCCGGGCCUUGUACACACCGCCCGUCACACCACGAAAGCCAAUUGGACCAGAAAUUGGGAGGUCUACUUCCACUGAAGGUCUGAUCGGUGAUUGGGGUG
rnacentral:rRNA from 1 species